CGUAGGGGGCAAGCGUUGUCCGGAUUUAUUGGGUUUAAAGGGUGCGUAGGCGGUCUUGUAAGUCAGUGGUGAAAUACGGCAGCUUAACUGUCGAGGUGCCAUUGAUACUGUGAGACUUGAGUACAGACGAGGUAGGCGGAAUUGACGGUGUAGCGGUGAAAUGCUUAGAUAUCGUCAAGAACACCGAUAGCGAAGGCAGCUUACUAGACCGUAACUGACGCUGAUGCACGAAAGUGUGGGGAUCAAACAGGAUUAGAUACCCUGGUAGUCCACACUGUAAACGAUGAUUACUCGAUGUUGGCGAUACGCAGCCAGCGUCUUAGCGAAAGCGAUAAGUAAUCCACCUGGGGAGUACGCCGGCAACGGUG
rnacentral:rRNA from 1 species